rnacentral:rRNA from 1 species
GACGAACGCUGGCGGCGUGCUUAACACAUGCAAGUCGAGCGGUAAGGCCCUUUCGGGGGUACACGAGCGGCGAACGGGUGAGUAACACGUGGGUGACCUGCCCUCAGCUCUGGGAUAAGCCUGGGAAACCGGGUCUAAUACUGGAUAUGACUCCAUGACGCAUGUUGGUGGGGUGGAAAGCCUUGUGCGGCUGAGGAUGGGCCCGCGGCCUAUCAGCUUGUUGGUGGGGUGA